rnacentral:rRNA from 1 species
UACGUAGGCAGCGAGCGUUGUUCGGAGUUACUGGGCGUAAAGGGUGUGUAGGCGGUUGUUUAAGUUUGGUGUGAAAUCUCCCGGCUCAACUGGGAGGGUGCGCCGAAUACUGAAUGACUUGGGGUGCGGGAGAGGAAAGUGGAAUUCCUGGUGUAGCGGUGAAAUGCGUAGAUAUCAGGAGGAACACCGGUGGUGUAGACGGCUUUCUGGACCGUAACUGACGCUGAGACACGAAAGCGUGGGUAGCAAACAGG